CAGUGAUAAACUGGAGGAAGGUGGGGAUGACGUCAAGUCAUCAUGGCCCUUACGACCAGGGCUACACACGUGCUACAAUGGCGCAUACAAAGAGAAGCGACCUCGCGAGAGCAAGCGGACCUCAUAAAGUGCGUCGUAGUCCGGAUUGGAGUCUGCAACUCGACUCCAUGAAGUCGGAAUCGCUAGUAAUCGUGGAUCAGAAUGCCACGGUGAAUACGUUCCCGGGCCUUGUACACACCGCCCGUCACACCAUGGGAGUGGGUUGCAAAAGAAGU
rnacentral:rRNA from 4 species